AUUAUUUGUUACUGUAACAAUGGGUAAGGAGUAUCCUAAAUGAUGUAAUUUUAUAGAAGUGACGAUUUCUAUUAGAAAUAAUUAAAGGAUCACUAUAGGGUCAGGAACACAAACAUGUGUUCCUGACCCUAGAGUGUUAAAACCACCAUCUAGCCCCUCUGGGCCCCUUAUGCCUCCAUAAAUAUAGCAAAGUCUUACUGUAUUCAAGCCUGAAGCUGUAACUCUGCAUGCUGUUUGCCUCAGAAAAACAAGCGGUCUGCUGAC